rnacentral:rRNA from 1 species
UACGUAGGUGACAAGCGUUGUCCGGAUUUACUGGGCGUAAAGAGCGCGCAGGCGGUCGAUCAAGUCGAGUGUGAAAGCCCCCGGCUCAACUGGGGAGGGUCAUUCGAUACUGAUCGACUCGAAGGCAGGAGAGGGUAGUGGAAUUCCCGGUGUAGCGGUGAAAUGCGCAGAUAUCGGGAGGAACACCAGUAGCGAAGGCGGCACCCUGGGCCGGUACUGACGCUGAGGAGCGAAAGCGUGGGGAGCAAACAGG